rnacentral:ncRNA from 1 species
UAGUUGAUAGAACAAUGUAGAUAAGGGAAGUCAGCAAAAUAGAUCCGUAACUUCAGGAAAAGGAUUGGCUCUAAGGGUUGGGUAUGUCAGGCCUUGGCUGGAAGCCUAGUGUUCAAAGCAGGCCUAUGCCCGAAUCCAUUAGCAUGGAAUAAUAAAAUAGGAUAUGCAGUUCUAUUUUGUUAGUUUCUAGAGUCACUGUAAUGAUUAAUAGGGAUAGUUGGGGGCAUUGGUAUUGAGUCGCUAGAGGUGAAAUUCUUGGAUUGACUCAAGACCGACUACUGCGAAAGCAUUUGCCAAGGAUGUUUUCAUUAAUCAA